CCAUUCAGGGAAGGAGCAGGCGCGCAAUUACCCAAUCCUGACUCAGGGAGGUAGUGACAAGAAAUAACAAUAAACCGGCUUAUGCCGGUUUAAUUGGAAUGCGUACAAUUUAAACAUCUUAACGAGGAACAAUUGGAGGGCAAGUCUGGUGCCAGCAGCCGCGGUAAUUCCAGCUCCAAUAGCGUAUACUAAAGUUGUUGCAGUUAAAAAGCUCGUAGUUGGAUUUCUGUGGGGACGGAGCGGCCGGCCGCACAUCGCGGUUCGAGCUAGCGCUUUCCCUACAUCCUGCCGCGAACCGUGCUACCAUUAAUUUGGUGGCGCUGGGGAUCGGCUCGAUUACUUUGAGAAAAAUAGAGUGUUCAAAGCAGGCCACAUGCCUUGAAUAAGUUAGCAUGGAAUAAUAACUAAGGACUUCGGUUCUAUUUUGUUGGUGUUCGGGACUGAAGUAAUGAUUGAUAGGGACAGUUGGGGCGGUCUGUAUUCCAAAGCGAGAGGUGAAAUUCUUAGACCUUCGGAAGACAAACAGCUGCGAAAGCGUUCCGCAAGGAUGUUCCCUUUGAUCAAGAACGAAAGUUGGGGGAUCGAAGACGAUCAGAUACCGUCGUAGUCUCAACUAUAAACUAUACCAGCUAGGGAUCGGCCAACGUUAUUUCAAACCGACUUGGUCGGCACCUUAUGAGAAAUCAAAGCAUCUGGGUUCCGGGGGGAGUAUGGUCGCAAGGCUGAAACUUAAAGGAAUUGACGGAAGGGCACCACCAGCCGUGGAGCCUGUGGCUUAAUUUGACUCAACACGGGAAAACUUACCAGGUCCAGACAUAGUAAGGAUUGACAGAUUGAUAGCUCUUUCUUGAUUCUGUGGGUGGUGGUGCAUGGCCGUUCUUAGUUGGUGGAGUGAUUUGUCUGGUUAAUUCCGUUAACGAACGAGACCCCAGCCUGCUAAAUAGCGCGCGUGAGCUUUGCUCGCGGCGAGCUUCUUAGAGGGACUAUGAUGCGCGAUAGCACAUGGAAGUUUGGGGCAAUAACAGGUCUGUGAUGCCCUUAGAUGUUCUGGGCCGCACACGGGCUACACUGGCGCCUGCAACGAGCAUAUCAGCUGGCCCGAGAGGGUCUUGGCUAAUCUUUUGAACCGGCGCCGUGCUUGGGAUUGACCUUUGCAAUUGUUGGUCAUGCAACGAGGAAUGCCUUGUAAACGCGAGUCAUCAGCUCGCAUUGAAUACGUCCCUGCCCUUUGUACACACCGCCCGUCGCUCCUACCGAUGAAUGUUCCGAUGAAAUUUUCGGAGAGCACCUGUGAACUUGGCUCUGCCUUGCGAACGGGAGGCUCAAAGUCACAUAAAUCUGACCAUUGA
rnacentral:rRNA from 1 species